CCGGGCGUAACUCAGCAGCAGAGUAUGUGGCUCUUAACCACGUUGGCGCUGGUGCAAGUCCAGCCGCCCGGA
rnacentral:tRNA from 1 species